rnacentral:rRNA from 1 species
UACGAAGGGGGCUAGCGUUGCUCGGAAUCACUGGGCGUAAAGGGUGCGUAGGCGGAUUCUUAAGUCAGAGGUGAAAGCCUGGAGCUCAACUCCAGAACUGCCUUUGAUACUGGGGAUCUUGAGUUCGGGAGAGGUGAGCGGAAUUGCGAGUGUAGAGGUGAAAUUCGUAGAUAUUCGCAAGAACACCAGUGGCGAAGGCGGCUCACUGGCCCGAUACUGACGCUGAGGCACGAAAGCGUGGGUAGCAAACAGG